rnacentral:rRNA from 1 species
GACGAACGCUGGCGGCGCGCUUAACACAUGCAAGUCGAACGGAAAGGCCUGCUUUCCCUUGUGGAUUGCGGGUACUCGAGUGGCGAACGGGUGAGUAACACGUGAGUGAUCUGCCCCCAACUUGGGUAUAAGCCUGGGAAACUGGGUCUAAUUCCCGAUAGGACUGCAGGGUGGUGCCUGUGGUGGAAAACGAUUUUCUAGUGGUUGGGGAUGAGCUCGCGGCCUAUCAGCUUGUUGGUGGGGUAAUGGCCUACCAAGGCGGCGACGGGUAGCCGGCCUGAGAGGGUGGACGGCCACAUUGGGACUGAGAUACGGCCCAGACUCCUACGGGAGGCAGCAGUGGGGAAGAUUGCACAAUGGGCGGAAGCCUGAUGCAGCGACGCCGCGUGGGGGAUGACGGCCUUCGGGUUGUAAACUCCUUUCGACCGCGAGGAAGCCACCUGGUUGGAGGGGUGGUGACGGUAGUGGUAGAAGAAGCACCGGCUAACUACGUG